CCUACGGGAGGCAGCAGUGGGGAAUCUUGCGCAAUGGGCGAAAGCCUGACGCAGCCAUGCCGCGUGAAUGAUGAAGGUCUUAGGAUUGUAAAAUUCUUUCACCGAGGACGAUAAUGACGGUACUCGGAGAAGAAGCCCCGGCUAACUUCGUGCCAGCAGCCGCGGUAAUACGAAGGGGGCUAGCGUUGCUCGGAAUUACUGGGCGUAAAGGGAGCGUAGGCGGAUAGUUUAGUCAGAGGUGAAAGCCCAGGGCUCAACCUUGGAAUUGCCUUUGAUACUGGCUAUCUUGAGUACGGAAGAGGUAUGUGGAACUCCGAGUGUAGAGGUGAAAUUCGUAGAUAUUCGGAAGAACACCAGUGGCGAAGGCGACAUACUGGUCCGUUACUGACGCUGAGGCUCGAAAGCGUGGGGAGCAAACAGGAUUAGAUACCCUGGUAGUCCACGCUGUAAACGAUGAGUGCUAGUUGUCGGCAUGCAUGCAUGUCGGUGACGCAGCUACGACAUAAGACACUCCGCCGUCGGGGAGGUACGGUCGCGAGAAGUUAAACUAACAAUAGUAAGUUACGGUCGUGAGACGUGCCGACGGACGACGACGAGGGAGGAGG
rnacentral:rRNA from 1 species